rnacentral:rRNA from 1 species
UGCAAGUCGUACGAGAGUUUCUAACUCAAGUGGCGGACGGGUGAGUAACACGUGAGAAUUUGCCUUUAGGAGGGGGAUAACAGUUGGAAACGAUUGCUAAUACCCCAUAUGCUUCCGAGUGAAAUGGAUUUAUCUGCCUAAAGAAAAGCUCGCGGCUGAUUAGCUUGUUGGUAAGGUAAUGGCUUACCAAGGCGACGAUCAGUAUCUGGUUUGAGAGGACGAUCAGACACACUGGAACUGAGACACGGUCCAGACUCCUACGGGAGGCAGCAGUGGGGAAUUUUCCGCAAUGGGCGAAAGCCUGACGGAGCAAUACCGCGUGAGGGAAGACGGCCUAUGGGUUGUAAACCUCUUUUUUCAGGGAGGAAAAAAUGACGUGUACCUGAAGAAUAAGCAUCGGCUAACUCCGUGCCAGCAGCCGCGGUAAGACGGAGGAUGCAAGUGUUAUCCGGAAUCACUGGGCGUAAAGCGUCUGUAGGUGGUCUAAUAAGUCAACUGUUAAAUCUUGAGGCUUAACUUCAAAACUGCAGUCGAAACUAUUAGACUAGAGUAUAGUAGGGGUAAAGGGAAUUUCCAGUGGAGCGGUGAAAUGCGUAGAUAUUGGAAAGAACACCGAUGGCGAAG